UAAUGCAGCACAACAAGGUGUGCAUUUUUGGCACACUCGGGGACAGAUGCUAGCAUUUUUCUACAUUUGACCUAGCACCAAAAAUAAUAAUGCAAAUUAACCAAUGUUGCUGUUAAUCAUUGACAUAUGCCAGGCUGCAAAAAUC